rnacentral:rRNA from 1 species
AAAUUGAAGAGUUUGAUCAUGGCUCAGAUUGAACGCUGGCGGCAGGCCUAACACAUGCAAGUCGAACGGUAACAGGAAGCAGCUUGCUGUUUCGCUGACGAGUGGCGGACGGGUGAGUAAUGUCUGGGAAACUGCCUGAUGGAGGGGGAUAACUACUGGAAACGGUAGCUAAUACCGCAUAACGUCGCAAGACCAAAGAGGGGGACCU